rnacentral:rRNA from 1 species
UGGGGAAUAUUGCACAAUGGGCGGAAGCCUGAUGCAGCAACGCCGCGUGAGGGAUGACGGCCUUCGGGUUGUAAACCUCUUUUAGCAGGGAAGAAGCGAGAGUGACGGUACCUGCAGAAAAAGCGCCGGCUAACUACGUGCCAGCAGCCGCGGUAAUACGUAGGGCGCAAGCGUUAUCCGGAAUUAUUGGGCGUAAAGAGCUCGUAGGCGGUUUGUCGCGUCUGCUGUGAAAUCCCGAGGCUCAACCUCGGGCCUGCAGUGGGUACGGGCAGACUAGAGUGCGGUAGGGGAGAUUGGAAUUCCUGGUGUAGCGGUGGAAUGCGCAGAUAUCAGGAGGAACACCGAUGGCGAAGGCAGAUCUCUGGGCCGUAACUGACGCUGAGGAGCGAAAGGGUGGGGAGCAAACAGGCUUAGAUACCCUGGUAGUCCACCCCGUAAACGUUGGGAACUAGUUGUGGGGACCAUUCCACGGUUUCCGUGACGCAGCUAACGCAUUAAGUUCCCCGCCUGGGGAGUACGGCCGCAAGGCUAAAACUUGAAAGGAAUUGACGGGGUC